rnacentral:misc_RNA from 1 species
AAGAAUUUGCAUAUUCAGCUUAUAUUUGCUUGGCUCAUUGUGCUAAUAACGAGGACCAUGGUAGCAGUCAUGACUGCACAUGACCCCAAAUCUAAAGAUAACCAAUUAUCAGUGUGUUUCAAAAUGCUAUAUAUUUGAGUUGAAUUUCAAUACUAUAUAUUUUACGUGCUAUAUAUUUGAGUUGAAUUUCAAUACUAUAUAUUUUACGUGCUCAUACUGUUUAAGCUUGGCUAAUCUGUGCUUAUUU